rnacentral:lncRNA from 1 species
CGUGGAGGUGUCUGGAACUAGCAGAGGUGGUGAGUGGGGCAGGUAUCCACCUAACCAGGCUGCAGGGGAGGAGGAGGGAAGCCGGGAAUGGGGUAGGAAGAAAGCUAGAGGUGGCCUGCAAGCUGGGCUGGGGCCCCCGCCGGCGGCCACCAUAAAUACUAUGGGAGUUUAGCCAAUCCCGAGCUCCGCUGUGUCUUGUGCUAAACAUUCCUUUCUCUCCGUGCCUCUGUCUCCCCUCUGUCCCCCCUCCCAACCUCCCUGUCCCGGCCCCCUGCUAAUCCGACUUCUCGCCAUCAUCCUCCUGGUGGGUGUCACCAUCGUGCCCGUUCUUGUCUUCCUUGGAGAGGUGG